CCUACGGGACGCAGCAGUGGGGAAUAUUGCACAAUGGGGGAAACCCUGAUGCAGCGACGCCGCGUGAGUGAAGAAGUAUCUCGGUAUGUAAAGCUCUAUCAGCAGGAAAGAUAAUGACGGUACCUGACUAAGAAGCCCCGGCUAACUACGUGCCAGCAGCCGCAGUAAUACGUAGGGGGCAAGCGUUAUCCGGAUUUACUGGGUGUAAAGGGAGCGUAGACGGCAGCGCAAGUCUGGAGUGAAAUGCCGGGGCCCAACCCCGGACCUGCUCUGGAAACUGUGAAGCUGGAGUGCAGGAGAGGUAA
rnacentral:rRNA from 1 species